rnacentral:rRNA from 1 species
CAGUCGCCGCGGGAAUACGUAGGUGGCAAGCGUUGUCCGGAAUUAUUGGGCGUAAAGGGCUCGCAGGCGGUUUCUUAAGUCUGAUGUGAAAGCCCCCGGCUCAACCGGGGAGGGUCAUUGGAAACUGGGAAACUUGAGUGCAGAAGAGGAGAGUGGAAUUCCACGUGUAGCGGUGAAAUGCGUAGAGAUGUGGAGGAACACCAGUGGCGAAGGCGACUCUCUGGUCUGUAACUGACGCUGAGGAGCGAAAGCGUGGGGAGCGAACAGGAUUAGAUACCCGCGUAGUCCCUGUCUCUUAUAU